UAGCAUUCUCUUCAAAACCCAGAUUCUAACGAUGGAGCUUCUCACCUAUUGCUCUUCGAUUUGAAAGUUCGUCGUUCUACUAAGACUGUGGAGGUGUUACUGCUUAGGUUCUGGGAGGCACCUAAUGUGACGAAAGGAGGAGAGCUCCAGGGAAUGGACAUGAUCAUCCUCGAUGAACAGGUAAAGCUUGGUCAACGCCCCACCGAUUGAACACUUUUAGACACCUACUAAGGAAGGUUCAAUCUACUCGAUAACUGGGAUAAUUGGGUUGGCGUUACAUGAACAAACCAUAACUUCAAACUCUCCAACUCCCCGAUCUACAUACACUUCGAUGAGCAACCCGCGUUCAAAAAUAUUCAGUUGCGGGUGCUGCCAAGCUGCUCCCAGGAACUUAGGCCCUGCCAAUUCACAUGAACCAUGUAUAAAGGCAGUGAAAUUCAAUAUUUUGAGAUGUCUAAACACAAAACAAUCAGGGUACAGUUGGAACCUAAAGUGAAACAUGAGUAUAAACUGACAGAUACAUUUGAAAAGUGGUCUGCAUAUGGAAAAUUAGACUAGACAGUAAGUAUAUUACUCCACCGAAAGUGUAAUGUUUAUAGUCCUAGAACGUGCAUUAUGAGUGUAAUAUAACUGGACAUCCAUUAACAUCAUAUGAACAUCUAUACAACAUCGACAAUUUGACAUCUAAGUUUGUUGGACAUAGUAGUCAAGAAUUUACAAAUCAUAAAUUAUGCUUUCUUGGCAACACAUGCAACCUCAAAACAAUAAUGACCUGUAUAC